rnacentral:rRNA from 1 species
AGAGCACAGGGCGGAUGCCUAGGCACUGGGAGCCGAAGAAGGACGUGAUAAGCUGCGAAAAGCCGCGGGGAGGAGCAAAUAUCCAUUGAGCCGCGGAUGUCCGAAUGGGGAAACCCACUUGAGCAGACCUCAAGUACCCAUGCGCCAAUCCAUAACGCAUGGGAGGGAACCCGGGGAACUGAAACAUCUAAGUACCCGGAGGAAGAGAAAGAAACAUCGAUUUCCCAAGUAGCGGCGAGCGAACGGGAAAGAGCCCAAACCACGGAAUUUAUUCUGUGGGGUUAGGACUGCAUAAUUGAUUUGCGAUUGAUAGGAGAACGGUCUGGGAAGUCCGGCGAAAAAGCGUGAAAGCCGCGUAUCCGAAAUCGAAAGCAACAUGGCAGGAUCCAGAGUACCACGAGACACGUGAAACCUUGUGGGAAUGAGCGGAGACCACUCCGUAAGGCUAAAUACUACCCAGUGACCGAUAGCGCAUAGUACUGUGAAGGAAAGGUGAAAAGGACCCCGGGAGGGGAGUGAAAGAGAACCUGAAACCCUGUGUUUACAAGCUGUCGAAGCACUAUAUAUGUGCGACGGCGUACUUUUUGUAGAACGGUCCGGCGAGUUAUGGCAUGUGGUAAGGUUAAGUACUUCAGGUACGGAGCCGAAGCGAAAGCGAGUGUGAAAAGCACGUUCUAAUCGCCUGUCAUAUACCCGAAACCGGGUGAUCUAUCCAUGUCCAGGAUGAAGUUGCCGUAAAAGGCAAUGGAGGUCCGAACACACAUCCGUUGAAAAGGGUGGUGAUGAGGUGUGGAUAGGGGAGAAAUUCCAAUCGAACCCGGAGAUAGCUGGUUCUCCUCGAAAUAGCUUUAGGGCUAGCCUCGUAUUAGUUUAGCGGAGGUAGAGCACUGAAUUCCUAAGGGGGCGUCAAAGCUUACCAAGGGAUAUCAAACUCCGAAUGCCGCAUAAAUGAUGUACGGGAGUCAGACUGCACGAGAUAAGUUGGGUAGUCAAAAGGGAAAGAGCCCAGACCUACAGCUAAGGUCCCAAAAUGUGUGUUAAGUGGAAAAGGAUGUGGGAUUUCGAAGACAACUAGGAUGUUGGCUCAGAAGCAGCCACACAUUAAAAGAGUGCGUAAUAGCUCACUAGUCGAGAGGUCCUGCGCCGAAAAUGUCCGGGGCUGAAACACGACACCGAAGCUUGGGAAUCCUACGGGAUUGGUAGAGGAGCAUUGAAGACGGGACGAAGCGUAACCGUAAGGAUACGUGGACUGUCUUGAAGAGAGAAUGCCGGAAUGAGUAGCGAGAAUGAAGUGAGAAUCUUCAUGGCCGAAUAUCUAAGGUUUCCAGGGUAAAGCUGAUCUGCCCUGGGUAAGUCGGGACCUAAGGCGAGGUCGAAAGACGUAGCCGAUGGACAACAGGUUGAAAUUCCUGUACUGCAUUAAAUCAGAACUGUGGGGACACAGAAGGAAGGCAUGAGCCGGAAAAGGAAAAUCCGGUGCAAGCAUGGGAGGGGUAUGACAGGCAAAUCCGUCAUGCAACCCGAGAAUGUGACGCGGAGCGAACAAAAGUAGCGAAGCAUGCUUACCGGCUGUCGAGAAAAGCCGCUAUUGCGUUUAAUGUACCCGUACCGUAAACCGACACAGGUGGAUGAGGAGAGAAUCCUAAGGCCGGCGGGAGAAGCAUUGUUAAGGAACUCGGCAAAAUGACCCCGUAACUUCGGGAGAAGGGGUGCUCUUAGAAAUAAGAGCCGCAGAGAAUUGGCCCAAGCAACUGUUUAGCAAAAACACAGGUCUAUGCAAAACCGAAAGGUGAGGUAUAUGGGCUGACGCCUGCCCGGUGCUGGAAGGUUAAGAGGAGAGGUUAGCGCAAGCGAAGCUUUGAAUUUAAGCCCCAGUAAACGGCGGCCGUAACUAUAACGGUCCUAAGGUAGCGAAAUUCCUUGUCGGGUAAGUUCCGACCCGCACGAAAGGCGUAAUGAUUUGAGCGCUGUCUCGACAAUGCACCCGGUGAAAUUGAAAUACCAGUGAAGAUGCUGGUUACCUGCGCCAGGACGGAAAGACCCCAUGGAGCUUUACUCCAGUUUGAUACUGGGAUUCGGUAUUGCAUGUACAGGAUAGGUGGGAGGCUGUGAAGCGAUGACGCCAGUUGUCGCAGAGCCGCUGUUGGGAUACCACCCCUGCAGUACUGGGUUUCUAACCUGCGGCCGUAAUCCGGCCGGGGGACAAUGUCUGACGGGGAGUUUGACUGGGGCGGUCGCCUCCGAAAGGGUAUCGGAGGCGCUCAAAGGU